GGCCGUGUGGCGUAAUGGCAACGCGUCUGACUACGAGGUGUUAUCAGGAGAUUGCAGGUUCGACCCCUGCCUCGGUCA